CCUACGGGUGGCUGCAGUGAGGAAUAUUGGUCAAUGGCCGGAAGGCUGAACCAGCCAUGCCGCGUGAAGGUCAGUGCCCUAUGGGCGUUACACUUCUUUUGUGCGGGAGCAAUAAUGGUCACGUGUGGCCAGACGAGAGUACCGUACGAAUAAGCAUCGGCUAACUCCGUGCCAGCAGCCGCGGUAAUACGGGGGAUGCACGCGUUAUCCGGAUUUAUUGGGUUUAAAGGGCGUGCAGCCGGGAAGACAAGUCAGAUGUGAAAUCCCGCGGCUAAACCGCGGAACUGCAUUUGAAACUGUUUAGCUUGAGUACAGGAGAGGUCAGCGGAAUGCCUGGUGUAGCGGUGAAAUGCGUAGAUAUAAGGAAGAACACCAGGGGCGAAGGCGGAUGACUGGACGGCAACUGACGGUGAGGCGCGAAAGCGUGGGGAGCAAACAGGAUUAGAUACCCUAGUAGUC
rnacentral:rRNA from 1 species